CCUAUAUUAGCCUUUAUCAAUUAGACUGUGCUAUGCCGUUAUCGUGCGUUAAAGUCGAGUCCAAAGUGCUACUACAUGUGUAGAAUAGAGGCUUUUGGAGGUGCCGCGCGGACCGCCGUGCUGCGUCUCAUCACCCGCUCAAGACACGUGUGAGAACGGGAGCAAAAAAAACAAAAAACAAGCAAACAAAAAAAGAGGGAGGCCGAGCUCUUCCGCGCACACACGCGCUUCUCUUUGGACGCCUCAAAUAUCGCCCCGCCGUGAUGCAAUCUCCAUGGCGACGGCCGUUUCCUGGGUAACCCCGAGCACCGUUGCCAUGGCGCCCCUGUUUCCACAGAAACCUCCCAGAUGGCUCGGGAGCGACAUUGAAGAUGAGCAUCCGUCUUCAAGGACCGCCGUUGCUGACGUCGGCUGGGCGUGUGCGUGAACGCAGCCUCGCGGAGGGCGUCCGGCAGCGAGCAGAUUUCCUAAAUGCAGCCGCGCGACGAUCCAAAACUUCCCAUCAACUCCCGCCCUGAAUGAAGGAAGCGGAUGGAGAGACAGCCUUCAAGGAAUUCUGAAUGGACUGUUUAGCUAUCCUGGGUGCAACACCGAUGGCGCCCAGCAGGGGGAGCGCUUGACCCAUCGAUGGCACAAGUGGAAGCUGUCCAGGUCGCCCGGAAGUUUUGAUGCUCCCUCGUCGACUGUCGCUCGUGCAGGGACGUGAAGGCAGUAUUUCUGUGGACCAAACGGGAUAAACUUGAUUGACGAAGAAUUCCCCUCUGCCUUCUGACUGGCGUCCUCUUACUUGGUGCCUAUAGCAGCUCCCGCCUGCCAGUCGAUCAACUUUCGAAAACAAAAACAAAAAAAAAGUUCGGAAAAGGCAAGAAUUCAAAUGAAAACAAAUAAAUUGGUUGAUACUGUAUAUAAAGUACAGUUUACCAAACAACAUCCUUCAUUUACAGUUGUGGAGCUAGUGUUUUCUAACCGCUCUCUGUUUUUUUGUUUGGGAGCAUCGCAGCAUUAAAAAUUGCAAGCAGUGAGAAAAUUCUUCGAGAAGCCCGCGUCAGACAUUUCUCCAUGUUGCUUAAAGUUUUAAAAGUCGGAGAAAACGGCAGCUCCGGGAAACAGCCGGCAGUUUUAAAACACAAAGCACACAAUUCUCUGCAUUUGUAAGGAUUUCUACGUGUGUACUAUAUCAGCGUUUCUGCUAACUGAUCCUCAGAACACAGAUGUCGUUUUCAUAUUGAAAGUGGCAAAAAAGAGGCCAAACAUUGAGUGUUAAGAAACUGUGACACAAAUCAAAGACUGUUAACCACAUGCCUUUGUUAGCUCGAUCAGUGUGCUCUGUAUUGCUAACAUUUAAAAUAUGUUAAAUGUAAUUGCCGCUGCUAUUCCCCUGACCUACACAU